GAGUUGAUUUCGGUAAUUUUUGUUGUGCGCAUCGUGUUCUACGUGAAAUUUUAGUAAAGAAACAUGUAUCAGAAUGCUGAAAUUCGUGCCUUGUCAACUGGUCCAUUGUAUGUGCUGCUCUGAUUUUAUUUUCUCAUUUUCCCCAACACCGUCUUGUUCGCUGGCUGUUAAAGGUCUGGUUUUCAAGUUGGAAAGGUGGCGCAAUCACCUCUCGAGAGUGAUGAUGGAUCAUCUUUAUUUAGGUUGCACUUGUCAAAAUUUUAAGAUAGCAAGCUGAUUGGUCUGUCAAGCAAUGUACAAGUGUAGGCAAAACAAUCAAAAAUGGUUCUGCCUUCGAACAUUAAAAUCCUUGAAGGAAAAAACGUCACCCUCUAUAACUGCACAACCUGCAAAAAGACCUUCAAAAGCAGAGAUCAUUGUCGUUAUCAUCAGUACUGCCUCUCUGCAGGAUUAAAACCUUUUUCGUGCUCUACCUGUGAUAAAAAGUUUUCCAAAAAAGUCACCUUACCUACCAUGAACUUUCUCAUACAGGUUAGUACAAAUUAGAAACAAAUAUUUCUUUUUUAUUCUAUCGUUAAUUAAAAUUUAAUAGAUUUUAUGCGUUAAAAUGCAUCAAUUGUGGAAUUAAAAAAUAGCCCUUUU
rnacentral:lncRNA from 1 species